CAUAUAUGCUCCUGGUUGUCUGAGUAGUACAAGAAACUACCUCUGCAAUAAAAAUGACGCAUCUCAAGCUUCUGUCAUUCAUGGCGUUGGUUGCUCUUGGGUGAAUGGUCCGGACAGUUACAGAAAUGAAGACGAAGCUCUCGACGUUGGAGAUGAUUCUGCACGGAGAUCCGGAAAAGCUCUCGAGACACUCGGCCGAAUUUUGCAAGAAGGAGCUGCGAAUCCCCACAGCGAUGAUGUAAACGCCGCUGUCGCUGCUUUGGAGGUAGUCAGUGGAGAGAAAAACCAGCGGAGAGAAGACAGCGAGUAUUUCUUAAAGAAGAUCAAGAAAGCUUUGGGUACCGUCGCAAAAGCCGUUGUAGUGCACAAGAUUGCGGGUACCAUCGGCUGAAAUAUCUGUACCUUUCCAUGGUCGACGCGUGCAUGCCCAGUAGAUGUUUAGGGAUUCUUCAAGCCUCAAUAAAACAGCUGCAAGUGAGCGUCUUUA